AUGGAAUUGUCUGAUCGGUCCGGGGCUAGCUGGUUAGCAUGCUAACUUUGAGAAACGUGGCUCACCAUCGACAGGUUUCUAAAAUGACGCCAUCAACAUGUAUCCGCAGCAGGUCAACACUAAACCCACCGGCUCAUCGCUGAAGCGAGUUGCUGUUAUGAGUUUUCGGGCGAACCACUGCU